rnacentral:misc_RNA from 1 species
AUGGCCACGCCGACGCGCAGAUCCGGCUGCUCCGGUGUGAAGAACACGCCAUAGGGCAGGUUCUGGAUCGGAAAAUCCGACGAGGGAUCGACCUGGAUGAAAGAGCGCAGCUUGGGAUCGUUGNNNNNNNNNNGCAUUGUAUCCAUCCGUUAUUCGGCGUCGGGCUGGCGGCCCGGUUCGGCGGCGGCAAAGGCGUCGAGUUUUGCAGCGGCGGCAUCCAGCGCCACGAUACGC